rnacentral:rRNA from 1 species
AUUGAACGCUGGCGGCAUGCCUUACACAUGCAAGUCGAACGGCAGCACGGAGCUUGCUCUGGUGGCGAGUGGCGAACGGGUGAGUAAUAUAUCGGAACGUACCCUGGAGUGGGGGGAUAACGUAGCGAAAGUUACGCUAAUACCGCAUACGAUCUAAGGAUGAAAGUGGGGGAUCGCAAGACCUCAUGCUCGUGGAGCGGCCGAUAUCUGAUUAGCUAGUUGGUAGGGUAAAAGCCUACCAAGGCAUCGAUCAGUAGCUGGUCUGAGAGGACGACCAGCCACACUGGAACUGAGACACGGUCCAGACUCCUACGGGAGGCAGCAGUGGGGAAUUUUGGACAAUGGGCGCAAGCCUGAUCCAGCAAUGCCGCGUGAGUGAAGAAGGCCUCGGUU